rnacentral:misc_RNA from 1 species
GAUGAAGAACGUAGCGAAAUGCGAUAAGUAAUGUGAAUUGCAGAAUUCAGUGAAUCAUCGAAUCUUUGAACGCACAUUGCGCCCGCCAGUAUUCUGGCGGGCAUGCCUGUUCGAGCGUCAUUACAACCCUCAGGCCCCCGGGCCUGGCGUUGGGGAUCGGCGGAGCCCCCCGUGGGCACACGCCGUCCCCCAAAUGCAGUGGCGGUCCCGCCGCAGCUUCCAACGCGUAGUAGCUAACACCUCGCGACUGGAGAGCGGCGCGGCCACGCCGUAAAACACCCAACUCUUCUGAAGUUGACCUCGAAUCAGGUAGGAAUACCCGCUGAACUUAAGCAUAUCAAUAAGCGGAGGA